rnacentral:snRNA from 1 species
AUGCUUUUUUGGUCUGUGAGCAAGAAUAGUAUCUGUUCUUCUAACGUCUCAUCAGUUCUGUAAUUGAGGAUACUUUAUCAGGUGGAUUUUUGGAACAGGGAGAUGGAACAAAAGCUUGCUCAUCCUUUUUACAAGUCAAUAUAGUAUUGUAGUACCUCCAUGAAUGCUAUGGUUCUCCCUUU